GACGAACGCUGGCGGCGUGCUUAACACAUGCAAGUCGAGCGGUAAGGCCCUUCGGGGUACUCGAGUGGCGAACGGGUGAGUAACACGUGGGUAACCUGCCCUCAGCUUCGGGAUAACUCCGGGAAACCGGGGCUAAUACCGGAUAUUCAGCUUGCAUCGCAUGGUGUGGGUUGGAAAGUUUUUCGGCUGGGGAUGGGCCCGCGGCCUAUCAGCUUGUUGGUGGGGUGAUGGCCUACCAAGGCUUCGACGGGUAGCCGGCCUGAGAGGGCGACCGGCCACACUGGGACUGAGACACGGCCCAGACUCCUACGGGAGGCAGCAGUGGGGAAUAUUGCGCAAUGGGCGGAAGCCUGACGCAGCGACGCCGCGUGAGGGAUGACGGCCUUCGGGUUGUAAACCUCUUUCAGCAGGGACGAAUGUAGACGGUACCUGUAGAAGAAGCACCGGCCAACUACGUGCCAGCAGCCGCGGUAAUACGUAGGGUGCGAGCGUUGUCCGGAAUUAUUGGGCGUAAAGAGCUCGUAGGCGGUCUGUCGCGUCGAAUGUGAAAACCCGGGGCUCAACUCCGGGCUUGCAUUCGAUACGGGCAGGCUAGAGUUCGGUAGGGGAGUCUGGAAUUCCUGGUGUAGCGGUGAGAUGCGCAGAUAUCANGAGGAACACCGGUGGCGAAAGGCGGGACUCUGGGCCGAUACUGACGCUGAGGAGCGAAAGCGUGGGGAGCGAACAGGAUUAGAUACCCUGGUAGUCCACGCCGUAAACGUUGGGCGCUAGGUGUGGGGGGUCCUUCCACGACCUCCGUGCCGCAGCUAACGCAUUAAGCGCC
rnacentral:rRNA from 1 species